GCAAGGAGAAUCGAGAGCAGUCCACAUCACAUGGAGCGGAGAGCAGGACACAGGACACGCUGGCAUUCUUGCAUCGGGCCCACAUUAACUCUGCCUUCCAUCCUGAAGGAACCUAGAUCAUCUGGGCAAUUCAGCAGAAAAUCACCGUAGUGGACCAUAGCAAUGACGUCCUGUUAAUGAGACCACAUGGACAAGAAGGGCUUUUUGCCUCCGAAAGGAUCAGAUUGGGCCUACAAUGAAAGCCAGAAAGGCGGAUAAAUUAACAAAGGGCCAGAAACACAAGUGGCUCCUAUCGAGAUGCUGUUUCCAGAUCCGACCAUGUCGUGUGAGCCGAGGCAGCCCGAGCAAGAACCCUGGCUGAAUUUUCACAGGUGACUCCCAAAAUGCUGCUGGUGACCAUCUUGCUUUCAGGGGAGCAAGGAAGCAAAAGGGACAUGGAUUUUUCUACAAGGGGCUCCGCAAUGACAAAAA